rnacentral:rRNA from 1 species
AUGAUCAAUCUGUUCGAUUUGAGCGCUGGAGCCAGCGCCAGGGUCGCCACCAGAGAUGGUUCUCCGGUGAGAGGAACACAGUCGGACCGGAAGGAGUACGCCGAUCUCAAGUCGACGGUGACUGGCAGCAUGAGGAGGAGCUCGUCGGACAGAUCCGGCGGUACGCCCAUGAAAACGCUGAUAGCGCAGGAGAUGGCAAAGGAGGGGGACACAAAUCAGAAGAACACUAAUGUUAUAGCAAGGCUGAUGGGUCUCGACGAAGGUGUGGCCUUUCCCAAGCCUGUUCAACCUUCCAGCAGGAGGAGAUCUCCAGAGUGCCAUUUAUCAACCACGAUGGCAAGGGUCAACAACCAAAUGUCAUUCGACAAGCAUGCGAGCUCUGUUGAAAAUGUGGAAUAUAAGGAUGUCUAUGAGGUGGGAUACCAGCCACAAAGGUGUGAGCAUUUGAGCGACGAUUCUUCACACGGAGGGAGGCCACAUGAAGAUCAUGACAAGAAAAGAAUGGAUCUCGUCCGGCAGAAGUUUGUUGAAGCAAAGCAGCUAGCCUCACAUGAGAAUCUUCUCCAAUCGAAAGAAUUCCAUGAUGCUCUGGAGACUUUGAAUUCAAACAGGGACUUGUUUCUCAAGUUCCUCGAAGAACCCAACUCGCUCUUUGCAAAGCAAUCUGGUGAAUUCUAUUCCACGCCAACGUCACCACAGAGGAAGCAAAUAACCGUGUUGAAGCCUGCUAGAUCAGUGGAGCUGAAGAGUGAAAAUGCACUUAAAAGGCAGCAAAACCAUGCAGUUCAAGGGAGUAGAACAGAGAAAAGCAAUCUUUGUAGGAAGCCCAAUGCUGGUCAUGCCAGAGCAGAAAGGCGUCCACAGCACACCCGGAUAGUGGUCUUAAAACCUACCUCCGCAAUCACAACAGCAGAGCAGUUUCAACAAAAUGGUCAUGGUAACUCUGAUGAUUCUGAUGCUCCUGAUGUAUCAAGGCAUGUGAGUGAUGAGAUACACUGGUCAGCACACGGCAUGUGUCACCAGCAUGAUGAGUGUUUGCAGGGUAGCGUACAGUCAAAUAUGGUCGGGCGAGAUAGAUCAUAUUAUGAUCGCGCUGAAGAAGGACGGAGUAGCUUCAGUGGCUCGGAGCUUGGAAGUCCAACAUCAUGCCAUUCUUGGGAUUACAUCUACCGGUUUAGCAAUCCUUAUUUUGGCUCAUCUUUAAGCCAUGCUUCUUGUUCUCCUGAGGCACAUGUAGCUAGGGAGGGUAAGAAGCAUACCUCUGAUAGGUGGCCAAGUGCAUCUUCCAAUGAGAUUAUCCGAGAAAACGUGCCGAUGCGAAGGAGCUUGAGCACGCUUGGUGAAAUGCUUGCCAUGUCUGAUAUGAAGAAAGAAGAUGUUGUUGAUCAGGUGGCCACUAAUGCCAGCAGCCAGUUGUGUGGCAACGAACCAAGAGUCGCCGUACCAUCUAAUUGUUCUGUUGAUGGUGCGGAAGGAGAAAGCUCAAGCAAUAAAAUUUCAAGGUCAAAAUCUGUUCCAGUCUCUUCAUCAGCCUUUGGCAGCCUGCGUUUAGAUGCUAGAUCUUCAGAUUCUCAACAUAGAGAAGCCACAACCCCGAAGGAGGCGGCCAAGCCUAGGAGUGGGAAGUCAUCUCUCAAGGGAAAGAUUUCGAGCUUCUUCUCAAUGCGUAGGAAAGCCGGAAAAGAGAAGCUCAUCACAUCUCCCUCGGGUAGCCUGAAUGGCAGAGUUCCUGUGGACAGUGAUGUAGUAGUUGGUGUAUCACAGUCGGCCUGUACUGGCCUACAAGACGAUGUUGCUUCAGAGAAUUUAGAAGAUAAGUAUCAGUAUGCAACAAUAGUACUUCCGGUCAAGGAAUCAGAGGCACUUUCUUCUUCUAAGGCACUAAUUUCUUUUGAGAAAGCACACUCAUUUGAGAUUCGGAAUUCACACUUUGAUGAGCCCAGUCCUACAUCAGUUCUCGAUGCGCUGUUUGAGGAUAGGAAUGAAAAGUCUGCCAGUUCAUCAGAAAGUGCAAUUACCGCUAAACAAGAACCUUUAUCGAGAUGUCUUCCGAUCGGAUCGGUUGCGCGGACGUUAUCAUGGGAUGAUUCCUCCGAAGAAGAGGCCGCGCCGUGCUCUAGCAAAGAAGAAGAUUCCCACGAGCAAGAGCAGUACGAAUUCGUCGAGAAGAUCCUAUCAUCCGCCGGCCUCUGCAACGGGGCGACCAGCAACGUCUUCGCCCGGUGGCACUCGCUCGACAGCCCUCUGGCCCCAAACGUGCCCGACCAGUUCCUGGAGCGCAAGGUGGAGGACGCCAAGUGCAGAGAGCGGCGGUCGAGCCAGAGGCUCCUCAUCGACUCCGUCAACGCCGCGCUGCUUGACAUCGGCCAGAGCAAGCUCUGGGGCGCAUACCCUUGCACCGCAGGGCCGAUCAUCAUCAACGUAUCGCAGCGAGACGAACCGGUGGGCGACGCGGCAUGGAGGCUGGUGAAAGGCUGGCUGUCGGACGACGAGGCGGGCAACGGGCUGCCGGACAAUGUGGGCGCCGCGGCGGACCGGGUCGUCGGCGAGGAGAUCGGGGGCAGGGGGUGGUCCGAGAUGCUGCGGCUGGAGGUGGACGACAUGACCAAGGAGAUAUGCGGGGGUGUCCUGGGCGAGGUCGUUGAGGAGGCGCUGUCAGAGCUCGCCGGGCGCCGUUGA